rnacentral:rRNA from 1 species
CGGACGGGUGAGUAACGCGGUGGGAACCUCGCCCUGUACCGGGGGAUAGCAGCCGGAAACGGCUGAUAAUACCGCAUAAGCGCACGAAUGUCGCAUGACAUGGUGUGAAAAACUCCGGUGGUAUAGGAUGGACCCGCGUCUGAUUAGCCUGUUGGUGGGGUAAAAGCCUACCAAAGCGAAGAUCAGUAGCCGAGUUGAGAGACUGACCGGCCACAUUGGGACUGAGACACGGCCCAGACUCCUACGGGAGGCAGCAGCU